rnacentral:rRNA from 1 species
UACGAAGGGGCUAGCGUUGUUCGGAUUUACUGGGCGUAAAGCGCACGUAGGCGGAUCGUUAAGUCGGGGUGAAAUCCUGGAGCUCAACUCCAGAACUGCCUUCGAUACUGGCGAUCUUGAGUCCGGAAGAGGUGAGUGGAAUUCCUAGUGUAGAGGUGGAAUUCGUAGAUAUUAGGAAGAACACCAGUGGCGAAGGCGGCUCACUGGUCCGGUACUGACGCUGACGGUGCGAAAGCGUGGGAGCAAACAGGG